AACGCACAUUGCGCCCGCCAGUAUUCUGGCGGGCAUGCCUGUUCGAGCGUCAUUUCAACCAUCAAGCCCCGGGCUUGUGUUGGGGACCUGCGGCUGCCGCAGGCCCUGAAAAGCAGUGGCGGGCUCGCUGUCACACCGAGCGUAGUAGCAUACAUCUCGCUCUGGGCGUGCUGCGGGUUCCGGCCGUUAAACCCCCUUUAACCCAAGGUUGACCUCGGAUCAGGUAGGAAGACCCGCUGAACUUAA
rnacentral:misc_RNA from 3 species